rnacentral:rRNA from 1 species
GACGAACGCUGGCGGCGUGCUUAACACAUGCAAGUCGAACGGAAAGGCCCUGCUUUUGUGGGGUGCUCGAGUGGCGAACGGGUGAGUAACACGUGAGUAACCUGCCCUUGACUUUGGGAUAACUUCAGGAAACUGGGGCUAAUACCGGGUAGGAGCUCCUGCUGCAUGGUGGGGGUUGGAAAGUUUCGGCGGUUGGGGAUGGACUCGCGGCUUAUCAGCUUGUUGGUGGGGUAGUGGCUUACCAAGGCUUUGACGGGUAGCCGACCUGAGAGGGUGACCGGCCACAUUGGGACUGAGAUACGGCCCAGACUCCUACGGGAGGCAGCAGUGGGGAAUAUUGCACAAUGGGCGGAAGCCUGAUGCAGCAACGCCGCGUGCGGGAUGACGGCCUUCGGGUUGUAAACCGCUUUCGCCUGUGACGAAGCGUGAGUGACGGUAAUGGGUAAAGAAGCACCGGCUAACUACGUG